AUUAUUAUUAUUAUUAUUAUAUUAAUCAUUUAUUUUAUUCCAUCAUGAUGAUCAGAAAAGACUUUGAGGAUUACAGAUUUCAUCCAGAAGAACAACAAUAAAACCAUCACAGCUCAGCCUGGACAGAAGAACGUCACUCUAACAUGUCGAGCUCCAAACAAUAAUAACAGCAUCAUCGGUGUAGAGUGGAGCAGAGCUGACCUUGGGACAGAAUAUGUGCUUUUGUACCGGGAUGAGCGGUUCGAUCCAGAAAACCAGCAUCCAACUUAUAAGAACCGGGUGGAUCUGAAGGACAGACAGAUGAAGGAUGGAGACGUGUCUUUGAUUCUGAAGGAUGUGAUGAUUAAUGAUAAUGGAACAUACGAGUGUCGUGUCUUCACGAGAGGAACAAACAUAAGGAAAAGAGCAAAUCUAAAUGGUGAUCCCAUCAGCAUCAUCACACUGAGAGUUGUUCCUCCAGGUCAGACAGGAGGAGACACAGGGGAUGGAUCUGUUGGACUGAUCGUCGGUCUGAGUGUUACUGCUGUGCUUGUUGCUGCUGUUGUUGGUUUUCUGGUCUACAGAAAACAAACAACAGCAGAGUCAGGAUUCAUACCAGCCUCCUGUUGAACUGCAGCAUGUUUGAAGAUGUAAGAGAUGCCUGUAUCACUAAGGCACAAAGCAGAGGUCUGACUUCAGAAACUAAAACAAUCACAUCCAUGUAGAAAACCAGAAGAGUUGCUUCAUUCCAAAGAGAUUUCACAGCAGAGACAAUGUUAAAGAAAAGCUAAUUGCUCCUCAAGUAAGAAAAAAUAACAGAUAAUCAAAAAGAAGAAAAAACGUGGAGAACAAGGUGCAGCAAAUUUAUCAACUGAAAAUGGGAAACUGCAAUUAUUUAAAUUGCAGGUUAUUUUAACCAUAAUUUGACAAUCCAAUUUAAGAUUUAAAAAAAAAAAUCAUAACCUCCAGCAUCUGUGGAAGAGUCCUAAGGAAUUAGACCCAAAAUGAUCCAAGAAGGAUCAAAGAAAUUUUAAUCAACAGGGUGUUUACAGUAGUAAAGAAGUUUACAGUAGAUGCUGCAUAAUGUUGAAAGAAUUACUAAAGCUGACACUGUUACUGUUAGCAUUGUUAACAACAUACAUUGUUAUGUUCCAACACUGAGCAUUUUUAGCUUCUGAUGUAUUGGACAAUUGUAAAUUAUUAUGAUUAGUAGUCAUGUUCAGUUUUGAUGACGUGUGUUAAAUGUUUCAAACACACACAGGUUUUCAUCAUUUGAUUGUAUGUUUGGUCUGAGGCAGCUAAAUUAGUCUGUAGAGAAAAAUGAAUGUCAGAUUUGUGUUUGUGAGCUUAGCCCUGCAUAUUUACAUUUCUGUGGAACA